AGUCCUGCCAUGGUCUGUCUACGAGGUGACAAUAAUGGGGAAGCGUUCCAGACAUAUGGUGUUUCACUGAGAUGAAAAACCCUCAGAGAACUCGAUUAUGGCGAUUCUCACUAGAGCUACCACUGACCACUGACAACUGCAAGGAAAGGAGACCCACAUCUACACUUCAGCGACGUCCAUCAACCCUUGGUGCCAGCGAGUCCUGCCACGUCCUGUCUAUGAGGUGGCUGCAAUGGGGAAGCGUCCAGCGAGUCCUGCCAUGGUCCGUCUACAAGAUGGUUGCAAUGAGGAAGCGUCGACAGCAUGUAGUGUUUCCCUGAGAUGGAAAACCUUUAAAGGUAAGCCUGACUGCAGAGCGUUCACAUAGGUAGAAAAAGUCAUUAAUGAUUUUUUUCUGUUUCAAUAAAGCUCCCACUGACAAGUGCAAGGAGAAGAGGGCCACAUCUACACUUCAGCGACGUCCAUCAAUCCUUGGUGCCAGUGAGUCCUGCCACGCCCUGUCUAUGAGGUGGCUGCAACGGGGAAGCGUCCAGCCUGUCCUGCCAUGGUCUGUCUACGAGAUGGCUGCAUUGGGGAAGUGUCCAGCGAGUCCUGCCAAGGUCUGUCUACGAGGUGGCUGCAAUGGAGAAGAAUCCCAGGCAUAUGGUGUUUCACAGAGAUGGAAAACCCAUAUAGAACUAGAUUAUGGCUAUUAUCGAUAAAGCUCCCAUUGACAACUGCAAGGAAAAGAGGGCCACAUCUACAUUUUGAUCAACCCUUAGUGCCAGCAAGUCCUGCCAUGGUUUGUCUACGAGGUGGCUCCAUUGGGGAAGCGUCCCAGGAUUGUUGUUUCACCGAGAUGGAAAACCCUUAAGGAACUCGAUUAUGGUGAUUCUCGGUGGAGCUCCCACUGACAACUGCAAGGAAAAGAGAGCCACAUCUACACUUCAGCUACUUCCAUCAAUCCUUAGUGCCAGCGAGUCCUGCCAUGGUCUGUAUACGAGGUGGCUGCAUCGGGGGAGCG